rnacentral:lncRNA from 1 species
AAGCUGAAUUUCCUUCUGAGCUGAGACCCAGAGAGCUCUUCAGGGUGAGGGCUAUGGAAACCAGAUGAAAUUUGUCCCUAAUGGGGGUUCUGUGGAAGCUCAGCAAAUAGUUCUAUCAAAUUAGCAGGCCCAAUGGACACAAGGGAACAGAUUUCUUCCUGAGCCUGGGCCCUGCUAUCCCUCGUCCCUUGGAAAUCAGAUUAUCAGGAGGGCAGGGCCAGGGAGGAAUUGAACUAACAUAAUUAUGAGCCCUGGCUUGUCCACCUCAGCCUGGGAAUAGGGCAGGGAGGAGGGGAUGCAGAGGGGAGACAGAGCCUCUCUCAGAAAGCUGCAAAUCCAAGAAAAUAGAUAGGAUCAGCCUGUUCCUGCUGCAGAGCCCCAUCUCCACCAUCCCAUCUUGGGAUUAGUUGUCUCAUCACCACGCUGUUCCCAUGUAUGUCAACAACAGAGGCUUCUGUCCUCCCUUGGAGAGCAGUGUGGUCAUUCCUUUUACAACUUUGAUACCAUCUAGUCUUGGCUUGAAUCUCUCUAAUGAUGGGGUUUUUGUUACCCAUUAAGGCCUUCUACUCCACUAUUGAUUCAAAAGCAGCCAACUCUAGGCAAGACCAUUGAUAUCUGGUCUUAUAUUUGUCACAAACCGGACACACAAAUUUUGGUCCCAAUUUUCCCAUCUACAAAUGAAAUAUGUGGUUUUGUGGUAGGCAUUGUGUUCAUGUUCUCAAUGUCCUUCCAGCCUCUCCCACUGUGAAGCAAGUUGUGAUGUUCUAGGUGAACUCUGACUUAUCAAAAUACAUCAGCCCAGCACCAUGCCGUAGGAGUUAUUAUGGCCAUUGUGGUCCAAAGAGAGAAACUGAGACUUACAGAAGUGGCAUUUUAAAGUCACACAACUGGGGCACCUGGGUGGCUCAGUCAGUUAAGGGUCUGACUUCAGCUCGGGUUGUGAUUCUGGAGUCCUGGUAUUGAGCCCUGCAUUGGGAGCCCUGCAUGCUCUGUCCUUCACUUUUCUCUCUCAAAUAAAUAAAUAAAAAUAAAUAAAUAAAGUCACACAACUGGGGUAUCUGGCUGGCUCAGUCAGUGAAGAGUGCAACUCUUGAUCUCAGGGUUGUAGGUUCAAGCCCAACAUUGGGUGUAAAGAUUACUUAAAAAAAAAAAAAAAUUCUGGGCAGCACUGGUGGCCCAGAGGUUUAGCACUGCCUUCAGCCCGGGGUGUGAUCCUGGAGACCCGGGAUCGAGUCCCACAUCAGGCUCCCUGCAUGCAGCCUGCUUCUCCCUCUGCCUGUGUCUCUGC